AUAACAUUCGGACCGUCGGUCUACCGAGCAACUUCAUCCGCUCGGCGGAAGAUCUUCGCUUCAUCAU
rnacentral:pre_miRNA from 1 species